UGGGGAAUUUUGGACAAUGGGGGAAACCCUGAUCCAGCCAUCCCGCGUGUGCGAUGAAGGCCUUCGGGUUGUAAAGCACUUUUGGCAGGAAAGAAACGUCGCGGGUUAAUACCCCGCGAAACUGACGGUACCUGCAGAAUAAGCACCGGCUAACUACGUGCCAGCAGCCGCGGUAAUACGUAGGGUGCAAGCGUUAAUCGGAAUUACUGGGCGUAAAGCGUGCGCAGGCGGUUCGGAAAGAAAGAUGUGAAAUCCCAGAGCUUAACUUUGGAACUGCAUUUUUAACUACCGGGCUAGAGUGUGUCAGAGGGAGGUGGAAUUCCGCGUGUAGCAGUGAAAUGCGUAGAUAUGCGGAGGAACACCGAUGGCGAAGGCAGCCUCCUGGGAUAACACUGACGCUCAUGCACGAAAGCGUGGGGAGCAAACAGGAUUAGAUACCCUGGUAGUCCACGCCCUAAACGAUGUCAACUAGCUGUUGGGGCCUUCGGGCCUUGGUAGCGCAGCUAAACGCGUGAAGUUGACCGCCUGGGGGAGUACGGCCGCAA
rnacentral:rRNA from 1 species